AGUGUGCAGCUGAGGUGUGAGGAUGGUGUCCUGCGGCUGGUGGCCAGAGCAUGGCAGACCCCUGGAGCUGUUUUAUGACAAGAAAAAAGCCUGGAAAUACGUUCCCAACUCACAGAUGACUGAUAUCCAGACCACGAUGGCUGGGCGAGCAUUGGAGCUUCUUGAUCUGCCAGAGAAUAAGCCCUGUUACCUGCUGGAUACUGGCUGUGGAACUGGGCUGAGUGGAGGUUUUCUCUCAAAUGAAGGGCACUAUUGGGUAGGUCUGGAUAUCAGCCCUGCCAUGCAGGAUGAGGCUGUGGACUGAGAUAUAGAGGGAGACCUGCUUUUGGGGCACAUGGGCCAGGGCAUCCAUUUCAAGCCAGGCACAUCCGAUGGUUGCAGCAGCAUUUCUGCUGUGCAGUGGUUCUGUAAUGCUAACAAGAAAUCUGAAUAUCCUGCCAAGCACCUGUACUGCUUUUUAGCUUCUCUUUUUUCUGUUCUUGUCCAGGGAUCCCAAGCUGUCUUGCAGCUGUAACCUGAGAACUCAGAGCUGUUGGGGCUGAUCACAAUACAGGCCACAAAGGUGGGCUCCUCCGGUGGCAUGGUGGUAGACUACCCCAACAGUGCCAAAGCAAAGAAGUUCUACCUCUGCUUGUUUUCUGGGCCUUUGACGUUUAGCCCAGAGGGGCUAAGUGAAAAUCAGGGUAAAGGUGAGCCCAGGGGGUCCAUGUUCACCGAUGAGAGGGUACCAUUCAGGAUUUCCAGGCAGGUAUGGUAAGGAAGAGCUGGGCAUG